GUUUCUAUAGUUGAAUUACAACGGUGGUUUUUCAUAUCAUUAGUCUCGGUUAAAAUCCGGGUAGAAAUC
rnacentral:tRNA from 1 species